AUACGGAGGGUGCAAGCGUUGUUCGGAAUCACUGGGCGUCAAGGGCGCGCAGGCGGUUUGGUAAGUCAGAUGUGAAAGCCCACGGCUCAACCGUGGAAGUGCAUUUGAAACUGUCAGACUUGAGUACUAGAGGGGAAAGUGGAAUUCCCGGUGUAGAGGUGAAAUUCGUAGAUAUCGGGAGGAAUACCGGUGGCGAAGGCGACUUUCUGGCUAGAUACUGACGCUGAGGCGCGAAAGCGUGGGGAGCAAACAGGAGUAGAAACCCUAGUAGUCC
rnacentral:rRNA from 1 species